CCCUACGGGGUGCACCGGAAGAAUGAACCAUGGUUUCCUGCUCAAUGCCUACAAGGCGGGGGCGGAUGGAGUGAUGGUGUCCGGGUGACACAUUGGCGACUGCCAUUACCUGGGAGGUAAUGAAAAGUGCAAGAAGGUGGUGGAGGAUACCUGGAAGGUCCUCAAGCUGUUGGGGAUCGAUGAGAGAUACCUCCGCCUGAAAUGGAUUUCGGCUUCCGAGGGAGUCAUCUUUGCCGAGGAAAUCCGUUCCUUCACCAAACUGCUGAAGGAAUUGGGAAAGAACCCUCUGGCGGAGAAGGAGCCCGCGGCGGCGGAUACGGAAGCGGCGAUGCCUCGCGCAGCCGCCGCCGGAUGACGGCGGGCCUGUGGGGGCUGACGGUUGUCCUUGAUCCGGGCGGGAGAGC
rnacentral:rRNA from 1 species